CAUCCCCUGCUGUGCUCGUUAGCGGUGAGUAUCUCCUUGAGCCUAAUGAUUGCCUCAGGGGACGAUGCGGCAGGACUGGUGUGCAUGCCCGCCACGCGCGGGAAGCCUGAUGGCCUGAGCUAGUCCCCACCUGAACCUCUGGUUCAAGGGCAAUUCUGCGACGGCACGAGCGGAGGAUGC
rnacentral:other from 1 species